CAGCCUAACACAUGCAAGUCGAACGGCAGCACAGGAGAGCUUGCUCUCUGGGUGGCGAGUGGCGGACGGGUGAGGAAUACAUCGGAAUCUACUCUGUCGUGGGGGAUAACGUAGGGAAACUUACGCUAAUACCGCAUACGACCUACGGGUGAAAGCAGGGGGACCUUCGGGCCUUGCGCGAUUGAAUGAGCCGAUGUCGGAUUAGCUAGUUGGCGGGGUAAAGGCCCACCAAGGCGACGAUCCGUAGCUGGUCUGAGAGGAUGAUCAGCCACACUGGAACUGAGACACGGUCCAGACUCCUACGGGAGGCAGCAGUGGGGAAUAUUGGACAAUGGGCGCAAGCCUGAUCCAGCCAUACCGCGUGGGUGAAGAAGGCCUUCGGGUUGUAAAGCCCUUUUGUUGGGAAAGAAAUCCAGCUGGCUAAUACCCGGUUGGGAUGACGGUACCCAAAGAAUAAGCACCGGCUAACUUCGUGCCAG
rnacentral:rRNA from 1 species